CUUGCUUCAGAUGCCAAUUUCCAGAGAGAUUUAGGUGAGGGCCUUUACAUUAUGUGCUGCAUUCCCACAUACACGUUCCACAUGAAGAAGGUAUAAAUGCUCCCUGCAACCAUGAUUACACUCCUAUUACAGUGUUACACCCAUGCCUUACUUGCCCUCAGUGACAUCAUCUUUCAUCUGAGUUUCAAAUGUAAUAACACUUGUGUGAUCCAACCAGCCAGCACAGUUUAGCAACUUUUAACACUUAGCUAAGGAAUUUUAAAGCGAGACCUACCAAACUACAAACUUGUUGCAGCUCAGCAGAACAAGCCUCUGCCUACAUAAUACUAAUGUGUCUGCUGCUACUGCUUCUAGGGCCCCUAAGUAUCAUGAGGUCAUAUAAAGCCUUUUAAAUUCAGGGUAUGGGUGAGCAUCUAUAGGGAGCAGAACAAAUAGGGCAGGGCAAGAGAUGACUGUCCCCAGACUCAGCUUCCUGGAAUGUUGUACACUCCUCCCUGUACCCUUGGUUAAGGGUUGGGGCACCUGUUGUAUCCUCCCUUCUUCAUUGCCUUGGCAUGUAAUUUGGCAAUUGAAAAAUCUAUAGUCUGAAACCUGGAUCUAGUUAGGAGGCACUGGGAAGGAAAUCCUUCCUGGGAAAGCAAAAAAAAAAAAAGUCAGCAAAAAUGCAGGGGGCCAAAACCUUUCUGAGAACAGCUAAUGAUGAAAAACAUACGGACUUUGUUCUUUACUCUGUGUGUGUUUAUUAGCUUAAUGCAUUUUUUACUUUUUUCACACACAAUUAAAAGGUCCACAGUCAAAUAUCAAAGAAUAUAAUUAUUUAUAUCUCAGAGUAAUUUGGUCUUCUAAAACUAAUCCAAGCCACUUGAAAAAUUGCGUUCUGGACCACCCUGGCAUGGUUUGAAUGUUGUCAUCAACGGGAGACUGGGGACACCUCAGGCCCUUAGACAAACUGUUCCUGAACAGUGAGCAAAAUUAACAGAAGCUGCAGCAGCUAUGACUCCCUGAAGAAAUUGUCUCCUCCUGAAUUGAGAGUGCCUAGCUUUGACCUGCAUUUAGUAGUGAAGUCCACCAAGGAAAGGGGACACCACGCUGUCUUUUCAUAGCAUCCUCUCCAUCAGCACAGAAUCCUGGCUGCUCCGAGUGGUGAGCAGAUCACAUGGAGUGAUGCUGAGCAGCUCACUCUUCCUCCCCUCAACACUGCAGCACUUCUGUGUAUUUUCUGCCCUCCACACUUUCCUGCUUGUGUGGCAGUGCUGUCUUUUACUUCUGGUACGCAGGAGGGAGCAAUGUGAUGAAUCUAAAUGUCACUUCCCACUCCAGCCAGAAACGUGUUUGGAGCCGAUGGAGGGACAAAGCGUCCUUGGACGCAUUGUGCAUGCACAGCUGGUCUGCAGUCUGCUCUCUUCCUGGCUGUUGACACCUCAGACCCUGAUGUGACACCCUUCCAGUUAACAAGACUAGCACAGAAGGCCAGCACUGAGCAGCUAGGAGCAGGGAUCAGCAGACAUCCAGCUGUAUAGAGGUGCUCGAUGUCCAGAAUUGAACAUGAAGCAAGCACUGGAGACAGAAAAUAAAGGGUGAAUGGGAAGCGAACACUGGAAACAGUAGGAUAGAAAAUAAAAGGUGUUCAGUUCAUUGCUGAAACAUUCCUGUGCAAAUUUGUCACUGAUACAAUACUCUUAGAGUCAGACGUAGCCAGG